CACGUAGGGCGCAAGCGUUGUCCGGAAUUAUUGGGCGUAAAGAGCUCGUAGGCGGUUUGUCGCGUCUGCUGUGAAAACGCGAGGCUCAACCUCGCGUCUGCAGUGGGUACGGGCAGACUAGAGUGCGGUAGGGGAGAUUGGAAUUCCUGGUGUAGCGGUGGAAUGCGCAGAUAUCAGGAGGAACACCGAUGGCGAAGGCAGAUCUCUGGGCCGUAACUGACGCUGAGGAGCGAAAGCGUGGGGAGCGAACAGG
rnacentral:rRNA from 1 species